ACAUGCAAGUCGAACGAUGAAACCGCUUCGGUGGUGGAUUAGUGGCGAACGGGUGAGUAACACGUGGGCAAUCUGCCCUUCACUCUGGGACAAGCCCUGGAAACGGGGUCUAAUACCGGAUAACACUCUGUCCCGCAUGGGACGGGGUUGAAAGCUCCGGCGGUGAAGGAUGAGCCCGCGGCCUAUCAGCUUGUUGGUGGGGUAAUGGCCUACCAAGGCGACGACGGGUAGCCGGCCUGAGAGGGCGACCGGCCACACUGGGACUGAGACACGGCCCAGACUCCUACGGGAGGCAGCAGUGGGGAAUAUUGCACAAUGGGCGAAAGCCUGAUGCAGCGACGCCGCGUGAGGGAUGACGGCCUUCGGGUUGUAAACCUCUUUCAGCAGGGAAGAAGCGAAAGUGACGGUACCUGCAGAAGAAGCGCCGGCUAACUACGUGCCAGCAGCCGCGG
rnacentral:rRNA from 1 species